rnacentral:rRNA from 1 species
UACAGAGGGUGCGAGCGUUGUCCGGAAUCACUGGGCGUAAAGGGCGCGUAGGUGGUGGCUUAAGCGUGCGGUGAAAACUCGGAGCUCAACUCCGAGUCGGCCGUGCGAACUGGGCUCACUGGAGCAUAGUAGAGGCAGGUGGAAUUCCGGGUGUAGCGGUGGAAUGCGCAGAUAUCAGGAGGAACACCGAUGGCGAAGGCAGAUCUCUGGGCCGUAACUGACGCUGAGGAGCGAAAGCGUGGGGAGCGAACAGG